rnacentral:ribozyme from 1 species
GUGCUGUCGUGGCCCUCCUCGAGGCUGCCUUGGAGCUGCGAGAUAGAUCGAUAGAUCGAUAGAUAGAUAGACAGAGAGGGCGUCUUGACGGACCGAUUUUGAAG